GCAGGAAUCCAAGACUGUAGCUUGUUUGUUUGAGCAAGCACUUUAACACCACACUGUGGGAGGAAUCUUUGUAAGAAGAGGAACAAGGAAGUGAACUUUCUUUUUUGCAAGAGUGUAAACAUGUACGUGCUCUUGGAAACUGUGGAGGAAAUUUGGGCUGUACAGAUGAGACUGAGCACCCCCCGCCCCACCACCCCAGGGAACUCCCGGAAGACAACUGCAGAGGAAGAUGAUUUGGGGCACUUAAACGGCAUUUGUUCAACAUUUGCAUUUCCCAGAAUUUCAGGCAUGUUUGUCUUUUGUUUCUUUUUCUCAAAUGACAUUAGAAGUGUCCGAUUUCGCUCAAGGGAAAAUGAAGGCUUGAUUGAAGAGAUGGACGAUUUGGAGUUGCAGGACAAGGAUGUUCUGGAAGAGGAGAUAAAGUCCUGUGUAUGAGGAGGUCCUUGUUGUCUUCAGCUUCUGUGAGGUUGGAGACUGUGGUCUGCAUCAGCGGCUACUGUGUGGAGGUAUCUUUGAUCCUUGGGGAGGUACCCAAAUGAUGGAGUCUAAAUUGUUUUUUUGGUGUGUCCACC
ensembl:lncRNA